UACGUAGGUGGCAAGCGUUAUCCGGAAUUAUUGGGCGUAAAGAGCGCGCAGGUGGUUGAUUAAGUCUGAUGUGAAAGCCCACGGCUUAACCGUGGAGGGUCAUUGGAAACUGGUCGACUUGAGUGCAGAAGAGGGAAGUGGAAUUCCAUGUGUAGCGGUGAAAUGCGUAGAUAUAUGGAGGAACACCAGUGGCGAAGGCGACUCUCUGGUCUGUAACUGACGCUGAGGCUCGAAAGCGUGGGGAGCAAACAGGAUUAGA
rnacentral:rRNA from 1 species